AGCAGCCGCGGUAAUUCCAGCUCCAAUAGCGUAUAUUAAAGUUGUUGCAGUUAAAAAGCUCGUAGUUGAAUUUCGGGGUUAGUAGGUUGGUCGUGCCACUGGUACGUACUGGUCUCACUGACUCCUCCUUCCUGAUGAACUGUAAUGCCAUUAAUUUGGUGUUGCGGGGAAACUGGACUGUUACUUUGAAAAAAUUAGAGUGUUUAAAGCAAGCUAACGCUUGAAUACAUUAGCAUGGAAUAAUGAAAUAGGACGUUCGAUCCUAUUUUGUUGGUUUCUAGGAUUGACGUAAUGAUUAAUAGGGAUAGUUGGGGGCAUUAGUAUUCAAUUGUCAGAGGUGAAAUUCUUGGAUUUAUUGAAGACUAACUACUGCGAAAAGCAUUUGCCAAGGAUGUUUUCAUUAAUCAAGAACGAAAGUUAGGGAUCGAAGACGAUCAGAUACCGUCGUAGUCUUAACCAUAAACUAUGACCGACUAGGAUCGGAUGAUGUUAAUUUUUAAUGUACUUCAUUCGGCGCCUU
rnacentral:rRNA from 1 species